rnacentral:rRNA from 1 species
GCAAGUCGAGCGGAAACGAUGAUAGCUUGCUAUCAGGCGUCGAGCGGCGGACGGGUGAGUAACGCGUAGGAACUUACCCAGUAGUCGGGGAUAGCCCGGAGAAAUCCGGAUUAAUACCGAAUAAUCUCUACGGAGGAAAGGGGGCUUUUAGCUCUCGCUACUGGAAGGGCCUGCGUUGGAUUAGCUAGUCGGUGUGGUAAAGGCGCACCAAGGCGACGAUCCCUAGCUGGUCUGAGAGGAUGAUC